rnacentral:rRNA from 1 species
AGCGUACACGGUGGAUGCCCUGGCAGUCAGAGGCGAUGAAGGACGUGCUAAUCUGCGAAAAGCGUCGGUAAGGUGAUAUGAACCGUUAUAACCGGCGAUGUCCGAAUGGGGAAACCCAGUGCAAUUCGUUGCACUAUCGUUAACUGAAUACAUAGGUUAACGAGGCGAACCGGGGGAACUGAAACAUCUAAGUACCCCGAGGAAAAGAAAUCAACCGAGAUUCCCCCAGUAGCGGCGAGCGAACGGGGAGCAGCCCAGAGUCUGAAUCAGCUUGUGUGUUAGUGGAACGGUCUGGAAAGUCCGACGGUACAGGGUGAUAGUCCCGUACACCAAAAUGCACAGGUUGUGAACUCGAAGAGUAGGGCGGGACACGUGGUAUCCUGUCUGAAUAUGGGGGGACCAUCCUCCAAGGCUAAAUACUCCUGACUGACCGAUAGUGAACCAGUACCGUGAGGGAAAGGCGAAAAGAACCCCGGCGAGGGGAGUGAAAAAGAACCUGAAACCGUGUACGUACAAGCAGUGGGAGCACCUUCGGGUGUGACUGCGUACCUUUUGUAUAAUGGGUCAGCGACUUAUAUUCUGUAGCAAGGUUAACCGUAUAGGGGAGCCGCAGGGAAACCGAGUCUUAACUGGGCGUUAAGUUGCAGGGUAUAGACCCGAAACCCGGUGAUCUAGCCAUGGGCAGGUUGAAGGUUGGGUAACACUAACUGGAGGACCGAACCGACUAAUGUUGAAAAAUUAGCGGAUGACUUGUGGCUGGGGGUGAAAGGCCAAUCAAACCGGGAGAUAGCUGGUUCUCCCCGAAAGCUAUUUAGGUAGCGCCUCGUGAACUCAUCUUCGGGGGUAGAGCACUGUUUCGGCUAGGGGGUCAUCCCGACUUACCAACCCGAUGCAAACUACGAAUACCGAAGAAUGUUAUCACGGGAGACACACGGCGGGUGCUAACGUCCGUCGUGAAGAGGGAAACAACCCAGACCGCCAGCUAAGGUCCCAAAGUCAUGGUUAAGUGGGAAACGAUGUGGGAAGGCACAGACAGCCAGGAUGUUGGCUUAGAAGCAGCCAUCAUUUAAAGAAAGCGUAAUAGCUCACUGGUCGAGUCGGCCUGCGCGGAAGAUGUAACGGGGCUAAACCAUGCACCGAAGCUGCGGCAGCGACACUAUGUGUUGUUGGGUAGGGGAGCGUUCUGUAAGCCUGCGAAGGUGUGCUGUGAGGCAUGCUGGAGGUAUCAGAAGUGCGAAUGCUGACAUAAGUAACGAUAAAGCGGGUGAAAAGCCCGCUCGCCGGAAGACCAAGGGUUCCUGUCCAACGUUAAUCGGGGCAGGGUGAGUCGACCCCUAAGGCGAGGCCGAAAGGCGUAGUCGAUGGGAAACAGGUUAAUAUUCCUGUACUUGGUGUUACUGCGAAGGGGGGACGGAGAAGGCUAUGUUAGCCGGGCGACGGUUGUCCCGGUUUAAGCAUGUAGGCUGGUUGUCCAGGCAAAUCCGGAUAAUCAAGGCUGAGGUGUGAUGACGAGGCACUACGGUGCUGAAGUAACAAAUGCCCUGCUUCCAGGAAAAGCCUCUAAGCAUCAGGUAACAUCAAAUCGUACCCCAAACCGACACAGGUGGUCAGGUAGAGAAUACCAAGGCGCUUGAGAGAACUCGGGUGAAGGAACUAGGCAAAAUGGUGCCGUAACUUCGGGAGAAGGCACGCUGGUGUGUAGGUGAAGUCCCUGCGGAUGGAGCUGAGACCAGUCGAAGAUACCAGCUGGCUGCAACUGUUUAUUAAAAACACAGCACUGUGCAAACACGAAAGUGGACGUAUACGGUGUGACGCCUGCCCGGUGCCGGAAGGUUAAUUGAUGGGGUUAUCCGUAAGGAGAAGCUCUUGAUCGAAGCCCCGGUAAACGGCGGCCGUAACUAUAACGGUCCUAAGGUAGCGAAAUUCCUUGUCGGGUAAGUUCCGACCUGCACGAAUGGCGUAAUGAUGGCCAGGCUGUCUCCACCCGAGACUCAGUGAAAUUGAACUCGCUGUGAAGAUGCAGUGUACCCGCGGCAAGACGGAAAGACCCCGUGAACCUUUACUAUAGCUUGACACUGAACAUUGAGCCUUGAUGUGUAGGAUAGGUGGGAGGCUUUGAAGCGUGGACGCCAGUCUGCGUGGAGCCAACCUUGAAAUACCACCCUUUAAUGUUUGAUGUUCUAACGUUGGCCCCUUACCGGGGUUGCGGACAGUGUCUGGUGGGUAGUUUGACUGGGGCGGUCUCCUCCCAAAGCGUAACGGAGGAGCACGAAGGUUAGCUAAUCCUGGUCGGACAUCAGGAGGUUAGUGCAAUGGCAUAAGCUAGCUUGACUGCGAGCGUGACGGCGCGAGCAGGUGCGAAAGCAGGUCAUAGUGAUCCGGUGGUUCUGAAUGGAAGGGCCAUCGCUCAACGGAUAAAAGGUACUCCGGGGAUAACAGGCUGAUACCGCCCAAGAGUUCAUAUCGACGGCGGUGUUUGGCACCUCGAUGUCGGCUCAUCACAUCCUGGGGCUGAAGUAGGUCCCAAGGGUAUGGCUGUUCGCCAUUUAAAGUGGUACGCGAGCUGGGUUUAGAACGUCGUGAGACAGUUCGGUCCCUAUCUGCCGUGGGCGCUGGAGAAUUGAGGGGGGCUGCUCCUAGUACGAGAGGACCGGAGUGGACGCAUCACUGGUGUUCGGGUUGUCAUGCCAAUGGCACUGCCCGGUAGCUAAAUGCGGAAGAGAUAAGUGCUGAAAGCAUCUAAGCACGAAACUUGCCCCGAGAUGAGUUCU